GACCCUCACAGAGUCACAGUGUCACAACCUCGCGUCCUCACAAAUUUCUUCCCCCUUGUAUUUCUCCAUGGAUCCCUCAAUUAAGUUUUCACCAUCUCUUUAUGCUGUACCUCCUUACCUCGGCUUCCACCGCUACCACCCUCUCACUUGCUUCUCAGUAAUUAACCCAAUCAAUCUUUUCAUUGAUUUUCAUUCGCCAUUGACAACGAAGCUCGAAAUCAAUAGAGGACAUUAUAUCUCCUUCCGAUAAGCAGGUCAUGGUCUCCAAAUUCCUCGAGAUCGCUGUUCGAUAGAGUGCCGACACAGUCCGCCCAUUUUUGCAGGUAUUUCCCCCAAUUUCUGCUUAUUUUUUUUCUUCAAUUUCAUAAAUUAGGGUUUUUUCACUACAAUGUUCGAUUUGAUGAUCGCUGUACAAUAAAUUAUGUAUUUUAUAAAUUUUGUUUGGGAAGUGUAAACUCGAUUUAGAGUGAUGGCAGGUUGGCAGCUCAGAAAUUGCGCUGCAUUUAUUGGUUAGUGUGAUGAACUGCGGAACUUGCCUUGAACCUGUUGAUUCUACUAUUGACUCCUUGUCUUUUAAUUUGGCUGUUGCCUGCUUUGCUCUUAUUGCAAUCAAGUUAUGCACCUUAAGCUUUAUGUUUUAUCUUUACUUUCGGUUUUAUUUUCAGCUUUUGAUGUGGGCUAAUCCACUCUUGGGUGCCAUGACAACAAAUUUUUCAUUUAUGCUUCAUGGUAUUCAGCCUGGCUGUUUUUGCCUCAAAACUUUAGGUUAUAGGAUUUUUUUUUUUAUUUUUUUUUAUUUUUAUCAUCCUUAUGUAAUAUAAGCUCUUUCUUUGAUUAAAAAAAGUAGUGUAGCCCAAUCAAUUUAGCUGAUGGUUUUAAUUUAGAACAUCUUAAGUGUUAUUCCAAAUUGAUUUUUUUUAUUUGUUGUUUUUCCGAUCCUGAAGUUGCAACUUGGAUUAGUGUGUAUAUCUAGAUUAUAUUGCCAUUGUGGUGGGUUAAAAAUGUACUGAUCAGAAACUAAUUUGUGUAUCUUGUUUUAUAUACACAUCAAAUAAAUUAUAUUUGUAUGUAAAAUUGUUUGUCUUCCGUCUCGUCUUCUUCUUUCUUAUUACUUACUUUCUUGAUUGAUUAUUGCUUGUAGUUCGAGGGAUAUUUGGCAAGAUAUAGUUUGUCGUAAUUUCUCCAUUUUAUGUUGUUAAUCGAGAGGUUUUGAUACCUACUCUGAUUACACUAGUGCUGAUCCUAAUAAAAUGGGAGUGAGAACCAUGAGAUAAAGCAUUGGAAGUUAAGAGACGAUGGGAACAAAAACUUCUGUUAUGGUACAGGCCACAAGAAACAUGCUUGCAUAGCAUGUAGCAACCAAUGUCACUAUUACUGUUUCUGCUGUUACAGAUGUCUACUGUUGUUGCUGAUGCCUGUUAAUAUCACUGGCUCACUGCUAUUGGCUGCUACUGUAGUCUGCUGGCCUGGUACUACGGAGUGCUGACUAUUGUUACUCCAAGUUGCUGCUACCUAAUGUUGCUACCGCUGGCUGCUAUUACUGCCAGCUGCUGCAAUCGGUUAUUACUGCUAGCUGCUCCUAUUGGCCAUUAAUUUCGCUUUUUUCUCUUUAGGAAUUUGUUGGUCUAAUCUAGAGACCGAAGUUGACUUUAUUUUUGUUUUGUUCAUUGGAUUGUUAAGUCAAUAAAAAAAUUUGGUGUUUAUGGCAUUUUUUAAGAUGCUAUAAAAUUAUAUCA